rnacentral:rRNA from 1 species
UACAGAGGUCUCAAGCGUUGUUCGGAUUCAUUGGGCGUAAAGGGUGCGUAGGCGGCGCGGUAAGUCGGGUGUGAAAUCUCGGAGCUUAACUCCGAAACUGCAUUCGAUACUGCCGUGCUUGAGGACUGGAGAGGAGACUGGAAUUUACGGUGUAGCGGUGAAAUGCGUAGAUAUCGUAAGGAAGACCAGUGGCGAAGGCGGGUCUCUGGACAGUUCCUGACACUGAGACACGGAAGGCCAGGGGGAGCAAAACGGG